AAAAAGGACCACAUCGGAUGACCCCUGAGGCAGGUCUGCUCCCCAAAAGUUUACUCUUGAAUGUUGACCAAGGUUGAGCUAGGCAAAGUGGUAAAUUCACACACACGGUAUGUAGCCCCUUCCCCAACCCCAGUCUCCAUUACCGGGGGCAUGCUGUGAACUAACUGCCUCCUUUUCCCCACACACCCACUUCCUGCCCAGUCUUUAUGCCUCCCGAUAUGACAUCCCGUUCCCUCUUAAUUAACUGUGCCUAUAGAGAAACAUCUAGAUAAACCAUGCAUUUAAUCUGUGAGGGGUCAAUCAUUUAAUCAUCGUUGACAAUAAUGCUCACUCCUCUGUGGUUUCAGAGGACUCCUGGAGUGGAUGGAGACACAUGCCACUAAUGUGGGAUGCAUUUCAGUCUGUCUUCCAGGCCUCGUUUGGAGGUCUCCCUCUCUUACCCACCUAUCACACAUCCAUGUCUUCCCUUCCCUCCCCAGAGCCAAACCUGUCCCCGACUUUUUAUUCUCACUAAAGUUCAAAUGACAGAAAUCAGCUAGAUUAGUACUUGCCUUAGUCCUGAAGGAAAGGGAAGUGCUCAUUAGCUUCUUAAAUUGGAACAGGUCUGCAGGUGAAAAUGAAGAUGUGCUCAUCUCUGGCAGGAAGGUUGGGAGUGAGGGGUAUAGUCAUAAUGAGCAGCGUUUAUUUGGUGUGUGCCUCUCACUUGCCACUUUCUACCCAGCUGCCUGAAUAUCACUCCAGUUAGUCUGAGCACAUGAAACACCUGCAACUCCCCAGACCCACCAUGCUUUUUCUUGACUCUCUGAAUGCACAGCAGUGCCUCCUCAGCUAAGAACACAGUUCCCCAUCACCAAGCUUUGCUUUGCCCAACAGACCCCUUCUCCCUUAGGAUGAGAUUCAGUGGAUAAUCACAUCAUAAUCACGACCCUCUGGGAAGCCGCCUCUCUCAUCCUGGGUUGUGUGUUGUGUGUUUCCUUUCCACACUCCCUCAGCAGCCUUUGCCUCCCACUUUCAUAGAAUCUACCAUAUGGGAUUUUAACUGUUUGUCUUCCACUAGACAAUAAGCUCCUUGAAGACUGAAUUUCCAGGAACUUCUGUUGGAUCUGCAUGUUUGUGAAGUGAAUUACUGAAGGCUGCCCAGUUUCAUCUGAUCCUAGUCAAAACCUAAAUCCCUUAUUUCUACGCUACCUUUUGCCAGCACCUGAAAAUGAUGCCAGGUUUCUGGAAUCCACGGCAGCAAUGGGUGAUAAGUCUCCAGCAUCUGGGUGACAGCAGACUGACUCUGCUCUCAAGUCUCAUUAAUCCACAUUGUAAGUCACACUAUGUCCCUUUGGCUCCAUUUUCUUACCUGUAAAAUGGGGAUUUUGAACUUACUAAUAUGCCAGACACAAAGCUAAAGAAAGGAGCUGAAGAGACAGGAUAAAAAAGACGAAUAAUAGGUUCCUCCCUGUAAGAGCUCACAAUUCAGUGGGCUGACAUCAUCGGCCUUAUCCACCAGAUAGAGUGUUAGAAUAACAGGAUAGCAGGAUAGAGAGUUGAGAGAUAAAAGCACCAUAUAAUGUGACAGGAACUGCCACUUGUCACUCAAUUUCCAUUCUGCCCUGCUAUCUUAGUAACAGAACUCCUGUUUUUAUGGGGCAGACAUGUCCCCAACUAAACACAUUAUAUUUCCCAGCCUCUCUUGCAACUAGUGUAGAGAAACCAACUUUUAGAACCAGAUGUAAGCCUAUACAUUCUCUUAUGUUUCCAGGGAGUCUUUUUAAAAAGGGGAGCCAUGCCCUUUUCCCUUUUGUCUUCCAACCUCCUCCCUAGAAUGUGGAUGAGGUGACUGGAGUUCUUGCAGCCAUUUGGGGCCAUGAGAACAAUGGGUACACCUUAGGGAUGGCAAAGAGUGAGCUAAUUGGAAUAUGGGGCCCUCACCUCUUUGCAGGGCUAUUUUAUCCAUGUUGUAUACUGCAAAUCACUGUACUUCUCUCACCUGAGAAACAAACAGCUAACUUGUGUAUAGAUGUGUGUGUAUGUGUGUAUUAAUGCAACUGAUUCCACUCUCAACUGAUGAACGAAAAUAUUUAAUAUUAAUAAGUAUUACACAUAAUCCCUACUUUAUUUAGCUCCUAAAGAUCUCAUGAGAUUUAUUUUAAAACUAACAUGCUUCAAGAAUUUUUUUAACUUCUGGAAUAUCAAGUGAUAUGGUGGUGCUGAGCAAUGCAGGUAUUUUCACAACUAUCUUUAGGAGAUUCAAAUCAAUGCUUGGGCUCAGGUCACUUUAUGACUGAGAAGUCUGGAAAAUUGUAUUUUCUUUUGAAGUAGCAGGUGAACUUGUAGGACAAUAAAUCAGCUAGACAUGA